UACGAAGGGGGCUAGCGUUGCUCGGAAUCACUGGGCGUAAAGGGUGCGUAGGCGGGUCUUUAAGUCAGGGGGGAAAUCCUGGAGCUCAACUCCAGAACUGCCUUUGAUACUGAAGAUCUUGAGUUCGGGAGAGGUGAGUGGAACUGCGAGUGUAGAGGUGAAAUUCGUAGAUAUUCGCAAGAACACCAGUGGCGAAGGCGGCUCACUGGCUCGACACUGACGCUGAGGUGCGAAAGCGUGGGGAGCAAACAGG
rnacentral:rRNA from 1 species